rnacentral:rRNA from 1 species
AGCAGCCGCGGUAAUUCCAGCUCCAAUAGCGUAUAUUAAAGUUGUUGCAGUUAAAAAGCUCGUAGUUGAAUUUCGAGACCGGUUUAUUGGUCGUGCUUUUGUACGUACUGGUAUUAUUGGUUUCUCCUUUCUGACGAAUCUUAAUGCCAUUAAUUUGGUGUUUUGGGGAAUCUGGACUGUUACUUUGAAAAAAUUAGAGUGUUUAAAGCAGGCUCACGCUUGAAUACAUUAGCAUGGAAUAACGGAAUAGGACGUUUGAUUCUAUUUUGUUGGUUUCUAGGAUCGACGUAAUGAUUAAUAGGGAUAGUUGGGGGCAUUAGUAUUCAAUUGUCAGAGGUGAAAUUCUUGGAUUUAUUGAAGACUAACUACUGCGAAAGCAUUUGCCAAGGAUGUUUUCAUUAAUCAAGAACGAAAGUUAGGGGAUCGAAGACGAUCAGAUACCGUCGUAGUCUUAACCAUAAACUAUGCCGACUAGGG